CCAGAUCUCUCUUUCUCUCUCUCUCUCUCUCUCUUUUCCUUGGAAAUGAUGCGUAAUGUCUGGUGUAUAGCGGCUAGUGGAGAAGGAAGAAAAUGGUCGUGCUGCUGCUUUACUUUCUUGCUUGCCUCUUCCUUCCCACUUUCGCAUACUCCCCGCCCUACUUAUUCGCAGAAAAGGACCCCCAACUCCAUUCCUCUCUCUAUUAUUGUGAUCCAUGGUGACACCAGAAAGGCGUGCCUCCAAGGACUUGGCAUAUGCGGACGACCUCUCGCUCUCUAGACGGUAGCUUGUUGAUGCGAUGAUCACUAGGUAAGAUAACGUGGAUCCGAUGCCGACCAUCGAUUCUAUUUUGGACACAACCAUUUCCUUUCCUUUCCUUUUCCUUCCAAGCAAACAAGUUGCUGGCAUCCAACCAUCUCUUCCUCUGUGGAUCUAUCUGUGUGCAUGCCUGUCGCAGAGCAAUUAUCUAUCUGAUAUCAGUGAUGGGAAGCAAAUCAAAGGCGCAUCACGUCCAGUCAAUCUGCGCACAUAGACGUAUUCGGCAUGGUUUGCUGAAGAUUGGUCCUUCCCCUGUUUCUUCUAAACCAUUAAAAAAAACUUUGAAUUAUCCAAUUUAGGUAUAUAUUUUCUUUACUUGAUCAUUCGAACUCUUGAAAGAUAUGCAGCCAUGUCACCGAUUCUUUACUGAUAGACAAAUUCCUCGCGGAUCACAUCUGGAGGAUCCCAUCUGCUAACAAAUUGAAUCGAUAGUUUUUCUAAAAGAAAUGCGCUCAACUUUUGGUGGUGUAGCAAAAGGUACAAACAAUUUAAUUCUUCCAACUGACAAUUUCUCUUAUAUAAUUGAAGCAGCUAAAUAUUUUUUUUUCUUUUCUGUUCGAUCGAAAGUUUAAUGUGGUGAAACAGGGGUUCCUCCUUGAGAAGAUGAGAGAGAGAACAUAUCUGGGCCCAGACUUGAUGUCCACAUAUGUUUAUAAAAUGGUAUAUAUGAAUGUAUAUAUGUAAGACUCAAUUUUUCUGAACAUUAAAAGUUAAAUAAUUAGUUUAAUAGCCUCAAGGGGUGUAGCCCAAAUGGGUGGCAAAGCGGCUUACACUUAAGGGAUCUAAGGUUCGAAUCUCGUGUUUGAUAUCAUGCACCAAUGUGUUACUUUCUUAGGUUGUAAAUGGUGGCAAGCAUGACACAUAAGUUGAAGAAUGAACCUAAGUCUACCAGGCCUAUUAAAAUAAUUAGUUCAAUGACUUCAAUCUAUCAUCUGUUUUUACUAUGUAUUUGUGCAUGUCGGGUUGGUUGAAUUUCGUCGUUGUUAUCGUGUGGGGAUUUUCCCCUUCACUUAUUGGAGAAACAGUGCAUGCUUGCAUUAUUUGUUUAGUCGGGAAGCGAGGAAACAUGUAGGCAUCAUCACCACAAAUGACAAAGUUGAUACUAUACCUUAUGGACACCAAGCAUGAUUAUCUCUGUUCUGGACAAAAUAGAAUAUUAAUUGCAUUUGGUCCCUGUUUGGCAGGCUUAGAUUCAUGUGGAAUUACAAGUAUUAGCAAAGCAUGAUUUUCAAAUUUGUCGAAACCCCAAAAAGUUCUUUGAAACUUUUUUAGAUUUGCAGGUAGUAUUGUCUGCAAAGUAAAAGGGAGAGUGAUUACUGUUCCUACUGUCUUCCUGAAAGGCAGUAGUUCUGCACCAUAGCCUUGUGUUGCCAGUCUGCUGUAACUGUCUACCCAGUUUGGUGUUAAGAUAUGGCUUUGAUGAUUGAGUUGCAUGUUGCAUUUUCAAUCGACUCUAUCUUUAGUGCAAUGUUUUGGCGACAGUGGUGCUUCCUAACAUCAAACGGUAUUAUAGGAACCAAACACACUUCUCAUUGCUUACAGCACCAUGUUCUAGACAGUACCUAAGGCUCAUUUACCCAAGUCCUUAAUCAUGCAGAAAAUUUCAGUAGAUCUUACAUAACCCCCAGUGAUUUUGGUUGGGGUACAAAGGAAUGCGCUCUUCAGAAACUAAGUUACUUGGAGAGAUCAUCAUAGUCACGAAAUGAGCCAACAAUGUUUGCUUCAAAUAGCAUGAAAUGCUUUUGAAGUCAAGAACCUCUACUUGUAGGUGGCUGGUAACUGAUUGUAGUUUCACUGAAUUUUUGCAAUUUUACAUCCUUAUUUUGAUGAAUCCAAAUCCAACUGGUAAUCAAAGUCCUAACAUGAUUCAAACUGACUAUGCACAUAAAAAU